rnacentral:rRNA from 1 species
GGUUCGGCCCUCGGCGAACCGCUCAGUAACACGUGGAUAACCUACCCUGAAGCGGGGCAUAAUCUCGGAAAACUGAGGAUAAUACCCCAUAGGUCUUCGAUACUGGAAUGUUCAUAGGCUGAAAGCCACGGCGCUUCAGGAUGGGUCUGCGGCCUAUCAGGUUGUAGUGAGUGUAACGGACUCACUAGCCGACGACGGGUACGGGCUGUGGGAGCAGUUGCCCGGAGAUGGACUCUGAGACACGAGUCCAGGCCCUACGGGGCGCAGCAGGCGCGAAAACUUCGCAAUGCGCGGAAGCGCGACGAGGGGAUUCCAAGUGCAUGCACUCUGUGUAUGCUGUUUACUAGUCUAAAACGCUAGUAGAGUAAGGGCUGGGUAAGACUGGUGCCAGCCGCCGCGGUAAUACCAGCGGCCCUAGUGGUGAUCGUUAUUAUUGGGCCUAAAGCGUCCGUAGCCGGUCCGGUAAAUCUCUGGGUAAAUCGUUGGGCUUAACUCAACGAAUUCUGG